UGACAGGCCAAUUAAGACGUCAUCCAUACUGCUCUAGCCGGCAGCCUUGUAGUGAUUUCAAAUCCUUAAGAGUCCGUUGACGCAUCUAUCUAAGUAACAUAAUUUAAAAAAUCCCCAUCACAAUUCGUCAGUUUAAACUUGAGAUAUCAGUUGUUGUUUAUUUGUAGUGGCUGAGCCUCAACCCAUCACAUCAGCCUGUCGACCUUCCGCAUCCGCAGUGGAAGGUGGCUGAGCCUCAACCCCUCACAUCAGCCUAUGUCGACCUUCCGCAUCGGCAGUGGAAGGUGGCUGAGCCUCAACCCAUCACAUCAGCCUGUCGACCUUCCUGCAUCCGCAGUGGAAGGUGGCUGAGCCUCAACCCAUCACAUCAGCCUGUCGACCUUCCGCAUCGGCAGUGGAAGGUGGCUGAGCUACGACGGUGUCGGUAAGACCAUGAGACAUCCCCAAAAUCGGUCAUCUCACAAAAACAUCUGUAGCUUCCGAACUAAUAUGACCCUACUAUGGAAAGGGGAGACUCUCCCAAACAUGAUGAUGUUCUCCGUUUGACUCUACGACCCCCACAAGUAUCACGGGAUUGUCUGAAGGUAAACCCAUACAAACAAAUGGAAGAAAGGAGAAAGUUGGGUGCCAACAAAAAUAAGGGGUUUAUAUGUGUCCAAUAUAUAUAUAUAUAUAUAUUAUGAGGGAUUAAGGACAAAAUCCUGGAAUCCUCCAACCAGGAUUUCUUGAAAACCAGUGACUUUGGGUCAAAUUACUGGAAUUUUGCAACCCGAUACGACUAGGCCUUAGGUUAAUAAUGACCUGACUGUUGACUCAUCAGUGUUGCACUGCACAUGCCACUGAGUCUGUUGAGAGAGAGAGGUACAGAGAGAGAGAGACAGAGAGAGAGGAACAGAGAGAGAGGAACAGAGAGAGAGGAACAGAGAGAGAGAGAGAACAGAGAGAGGAACAGAGAGAGGAACAGAGAGAGAGAGGAACAGAGAGAGAGAGGAACAGAGAGAGAAAGAACAGAGAGAGGAACAGAGAGAGAGAGAAGAGAGAGAGGAACAGAGAGAGAGGAACAGAGGGAGAGAGAGUCAGAGAGAGAGGAACAGAGAGAGGAACAGAGAGAGAGUCAGAGAGAGGAACAGAGAGAGAGAGAAGAGAGAGAGAGGAACAGAGAGAGAGAGGAACAGAGAGAGAGGAACAGAGAGAGAGGAACAGAGAGAGAGGAACAGAGAGAGAGAGGAACAGAGAGAGAGGAACAGAGAGAGA
ensembl:lncRNA